rnacentral:rRNA from 1 species
GUCCACGCCGUAAACGAUGAUAACUAGCUGUCCGGGCACUUGGUGUUUGGGUGGCGCAGCUAACGCAUUAAGUUAUCCGCCUGGGGAGUACGGUCGCAAGAUUAAACUCAAAGGAAUUGACGGGGGCCUGCACAAGCGGUGGAGCAUGUGGUUUAAUUCGAAGCAACGCGCAGAACCUUACCAGCGUUUGACAUCCCGCGCUAUCCCAGAGAGAUUUGGAGUUCCCUUCGGGGACGCGGUGACAGGUGCUGCAUGGCUGUCGU